AACGAACGCUGGCGGCGUGCUUAACACAUGCAAGUCGAACGCGAACGUUUUCUUCGGAAAACUAGUAGAGUGGCGCACGGGUGAGUAACGCGUAAGUAAUCUACCCUGGCAUCCGGGAUAACCCACCGAAAGGUGUGCUAAUACCGGAUACGCUGAUUUAUCAGGAAAGGUGGCCUCUUCAUGAAAGCUACUGUGCCGGGAGGAGCUUGCGUACCAUUAGCUAGUUGGUGGGGUAAUGGCCUACCAAGGCAACGAUGGUUAGCGGGUCUGAGAGGAUGAUCCGCCACACUGGAACUGAAACACGGACCAGACUCCUACGGGAGGCAGCAGUGAGGAAUAUUGCGCAAUGGGGGAAACCCUGACGCAGCGACGCCGCGUGGAUGAUGAAGGCCUUCGGGUCGUAAACCUCUGUCGGGAGGGACGAACACAGUGCGGGUGAACAAUCCGUGCUGAUGACGGUACCUCCAAAGGAAGCGCCGGCUAACUCCGUG
rnacentral:rRNA from 1 species